rnacentral:miRNA from 1 species
AGAGGCCUUAGGGGAGAGUGG